ensembl:lncRNA
AUGCAUAAUACUGAUACAUCAGAUGACGGAAGUGCAAGAAGCAGAUUCAGUAACGAAGAAAUUAAUAAAAUAAAUGAUUAUAAAAAUAAAAAAAAAAAAAGUACAGAUAAAAUAACAAAUGAUUUAAAACAAGUUUUUCAUCGCAAUUUAAGUUUAAUGUUAAAUGUAGAUGAAACUGAAGAUUCGGAUUCUAAUUUAGAUAAUAUACAAUUACCCAACCCUAGAAUAACAAUAACGCUAAUGCAUACGCCUAAGAUUAAUAAAGGGUUGGGUUUAGUGUCGAUAGAGCAAAAACAUAUGAAAUUCUCUAUUUGGGAAAACUUAGGCCAUAUAUAUUUCAGAGGCACAUUAAAAGACUUGGAGGUUACUUAUCUUAAUGUAAGUGUUUUUUUUUUUUUUUUUACCACUUUUGCUCACGUGGAUAUAUAUAUAUAUAUAUACCGACUUAUACAUGCACAACCCACACCGUUUAAUCUGUUCCCCACACCGUUUAAUCUGUUCCCCCCACCUCUCUUUUCUCCUUUUUUUUUUUUUUUUUUUUUUUUUUUUUUUUCCCAGAUAAACGUCGAAGACAUGUCUGCACCAAAAGGAGCCAGGAAUAUCGGGACGUGUAUAGUUCCGUUAAAAGGUAUUGUCGACUACCCAUAUAUAACGCACGAUUUGGAAGCCCCUCCAUGGGUAAUUGAAGAAGCAAAACAUGAGGGAUGGUAUAAUAAAUUAACAGAAUGGAAAUUCGGUUCUGCAGAAGGUAAAGUUGCGAUUUCAUGUACACCCAGAUAUAGACAACAAGGUGAUAUAUAUUAUAUAGAUAGUAAACAUUCUUAUUUGAUUGUACAUAUAUUAAACGUUGAUCAAAUUAUUACUAUCGACAAUAUAAAGGAGUUAGAUACAUAUGUAGAAGUAUCGUUUGAUGAAACCAGUCGUAGAACAAAAUUAAUUAAGAAGACAUUAAAACCAAAUUAUGAUACUCAGCUAGCUAUACCAUUACGAUUUAGCAACAAAAACCAAAUGACUUAUGAAAACUUUUGUAAUAAAGGAGUGAUAUAUAUAGACGUUUGGGGACAAACAGAUGAAAUUAUUUAUAUUGGUGGUAUAUCUGUAACACCACAUGAAAUUUUUUUUACUGAAAAAAAUAUAAGAAGAGAUACAACAAAAUUAGAAUAUAUAGAUUCAGAAACAAAUACAAAAACUAAUUACGAAACAAUUGUUUAUCAUAGUAGUAAAAAGUUAUUAUUUUUACAUGAAGAUCAAAGAUCCUCAAAUAUACAUUUUAAUAUAUGGACAUAUCCUGGUAUUCUAGAUUUACAACCUAAUAAAUUAUAUCGAUAUCCAAUUGUAGAUAGUGUGAAAUAUUUACCUAUAAAAUUAGCAAAAAAAUAUGAAAAAUUAAAAAAAUUAUAUAUAGAAGUAUUAUCAACUAUUAAAGCAAUACCUGAAAAUUUAGAAGAUAUAAAUAAAGCAAACAGAUAUUUAAAUUAUGAAUUAUUAAAUCAAAGAAAAGAAUAUAAAUUCUUACCUACAUUAAUUACUAAUGUUAAGUCACCAUAUUGUCCUGAAUCAACUAAUGCUAUAUUUCACUAUGUGAGAUGUAUACCUUUUAUUCAUAAAAAAGAAAAUUUGGCAUUUACACCUGACUUUACUAUUCAGUUAAAAGGAGGAAAUGCAUUAGACCAUAGUUUGUUAUUAUGUAGUUUAUUUUUAGGUAUCCCCAUAAUAUCGUUUGUAUGUUUUGGUACACUAUGGGAUAGUCAAAAACAUGUAUGGGUAGCUACAUUAGAACAUAAAGAAAAAAAAAAUUAUGGAUUUAUUAAAUUUUGGGAAACAACUACAGGUAAUAUAUAUGUAUUAAAAAAAAGAUUUUUAGAUAUAAAUAGACUGAAAGGAUUAGAAAUGAAAUUAAACGAAACUAAAUACAAACUUCAUUUAAGAGGUGAUUAUUUAAAUAAAACUUACAAUAAAAAAAUAAACAAAAAUCGUAUUAAAGAAGAUACUAAACAAUAUAUAGAUAGUCUUUUUCAAAAUCGAGAAACAAACACACCUACAGGUGGAAAACCAUUACCAUAUAAAACAAUUGAUUUAAUUUUUAAUAACAAAAAUAUAUAUCUUAAUUUACAAGAUCCAAACCCUUUAAAUGUUUGGUAUGAUUAUUGGAAUAUAGAAUAUUGGUUUCCUUUUUCAUCAGUUGAAUAUAAUAUUAAACCUUGUUUUACUAUUUAUAAUUUUUGUCAUAAAACUGAAGACAUAGAACUUAAUAAAAUGGCAAAAGAUUUAAGAAGUAAAAUAGAANNNNNNNNNNNNNNNNNNNNNNNNNNNNNNNNNNNNNNNNNNNNNNNNNNNNNNNNNNNNNNNNNNNNNNNNNNNNNNNNNNNNNNNNNNNNNNNNNNNNAG